rnacentral:misc_RNA from 1 species
GAUGAAGAACGUAGCGAAAUGCGAUAAGUAAUGUGAAUUGCAGAAUUCAGUGAAUCAUCGAAUCUUUGAACGCAUCUUGCGCUCCUUGGUAUUCUGAGGAGCAUGUCUGUUUGAGUGUCAUUAAAUUCUCAACUACACUGACUUUGAAUUGGUGUGGCUUGGAUUUGGGGGGAAAAUUGUUGUGGGCUUUUUGUAUAGUCUGCUCCCCUGAAAUUGAUUAGCGGUACCUUUGUGGAACUGUCUACAGGUGUGAUAAUUAUCUACAUCUUAGACAUCUGCUGGAAUGCUGCUCUCUAAACCUUACUUGUAUUGACAAUCUUGACCUCAAAUCAGGUAGGACUACCCGCUGAACUUAAGCAUAUCAAUAAGCGGAGGA